rnacentral:snRNA from 2 species
AUACCUUUCUCGGCCUUUUGGCUAAGAUCAAGUGUAGUAUCUGUUCUUAUCAGUUUAAUAUCUGAUAUGUGGACCAAUGGUUCACAUGAUAUUAAAUUACUUUUUUGAGGGGGAGAAGCCAUAUUAGUAGCUUGCUACUAGGCUUCUUGAGUGUUGCCAAUGCGUUGCACUACAGCAUUGGCUUGGCGCACCCGAC